UUUUUUUCUCCUAAAACCAUAUUUUAAAAAAUGUUGUAAAAAUGUUUUUUCCCCCACAACUAACAUCAGCCCCUUUUUCUCCUUGGAAACCCGCAUGGGAAAUAAUGUCUCUAUUUGUAUGAUGCUACACUUUUACGACUUUAAAUCCCAUGAUGCACUGAGUUUUUCACUGUUCUUUUUCACGCCAAGGUUAUUGUAGUUAACUAAAAGUAAACUAAAAUUUAAAACUCAAUAUGAGUCUAAACUUUUAUGUCUGUGAGACUGUGAGUCACUGCUUACCAUAAAUACAAUAAUAAUUAAAAAAGACUAAACCUAUUGUCCAAACAAUAAAUUAAACUGAAAAAAAGAAAACCCACUUUGAGAACUAACUGAAACUAAACUGAAUUAAACACAAAAAUUAAAAAGAAAAUGAAAUAAAAACUAAUAAGAAAAUACAAAAAUAUAAUAACUCUGUUUCAUUCACUAUGUGCUUACACCCCACUCUGCAUUUAAUCAUCAGUUAUUAUUAUUUUUUGCUCUUUUCCUCAGCGUGUCUUUGUCCCGUCUUCCUCCCUUCACUGCCAAUCAGAUGUCUGGCUGCCCCUGAGCUCGGUUCUGCUGGAGGUUUCUUCCUGUUAAAAGGGUUUUUCCUUCCCACUGUUGCCAAGUGCUUGCUCAUAGGGGAUCGUCUGAUUGCUCGGGCUUUCUCUGUUUUAUUGGACAAAGUGAGGAGCAUGGCUAAGCCUUGUCGCGACCUGUUUAAAGAGCCGCCGGCGCCCGACUGAGGCCAUGAGUUUGGCUGGCUACACUGCAGGCAAGAAUGAGCAAGUGCAUCAGCCCCACAGCAUGGAAAUGGGAGGCAGUCUGCACCUGGCCUCUGCAAGUGUCCACCUGCUCAGGUAAGACCUUUCACCUUUUACCCAGAGCCUGAACUACCAGCGCUAGCUCUACCUGCCAGCUCCGCAGUGACAAAUGGG
ensembl:lncRNA